rnacentral:rRNA from 1 species
GACAGAGGGUGCAAACGUUUGUUCGGAUUUACUGGGCGUAAAGCGCGUGUAGGCGGCUUGGCAAGUUGAAUGUGAAAGCCCACGGCUCAACCGUGGAAGCGCAUCCAAAACUGCUUCGCUGGAGUCUCGGAGAGGAAGGUGGAAUGCUUGGUGUAGAGGUGAAAUUCGUAGAUAUCAAGCAGAACACCUGCGGCGAAGGCGGCCUUCUGGACGAUGACUGACGCUGAGACGCGAAAGCGUGGGGAGCAAACAGG